rnacentral:rRNA from 1 species
GGGAAUAUUGGACAAUGGGGGCAACCCUGAUCCAGCAAUGCCGCGUGUGUGAAGAAGGUCUUCGGAUUGUAAAGCACUUUCGACGGGGACGAUGAUGACGGUACCCGUAGAAGAAGCCCCGGCUAACUUCGUGCAGCAGCCGCGGUAAUACGAAGGGGGCUAGCGUUGCUCGGAAUGACUGGGCGUAAAGGGCGUGUAGGCGGUUUACACAGUCAGAUGUGAAAUCCCCGGGCUUAACCUGGGAGCUGCAUUUGAUACGUGUAGACUAGAGUGUGAGAGAGGGUUGUGGAAUUCCCAGUGUAGAGGUGAAAUUCGUAGAUAUUGGGAAGAACACCGGUGGCGAAGGCGGCAACCUGGCUCAUGACUGACGCUGAGGCGCGAAAGCGUGGGGAGCAAACAGGAUU